AAAAACCGCAAUUACUUUUGC
rnacentral:miRNA from 1 species